rnacentral:tRNA from 1 species
GCGUUCGUAGCUCAGCUGGAUAGAGCGCUACCCUCCGAAGGUAGAAGUCUCAGGUUCAAAUCCUGACGAACGCA